ACAGAGGGGGCAAGCGUUGUUCGGAAUUACUGGGCGUAAUGGGCGCGUAGGCGGCCUGUUAAGUCGAACGUGAAAUCCCCGGUCUCAACCCGGGAACUGCGUCCGAUACUGGCAGGCUUGAAUUCGGGAGAGGGAUGUGGAAUUCCAGGUGUAGCGGUGAAAUGCGUAGAUAUCUGGAGGAACACCGGUGGCGAAGGCGGCUCUCUGGACCACAACUGACGCUGAGGCGCGAAAGCUAGGGGAGCAAACAGGA
rnacentral:rRNA from 1 species